AGCGAACGCUGGCGGCAGGCCUAACACAUGCAAGUCGAACGAACCUUUCGGGGUUAGUGGCGGACGGGUGAGUAACACGUGGGAACGUGCCUUUAGGUUCGGAAUAACUCAGGGAAACUUGUGCUAAUACCGAAUGUGCCCUUCGGGGGAAAGAUUUAUCGCCUUUAGAGCGGCCCGCGUCUGAUUAGCUAGUUGGUUGAGGUAAUGGCACACCAAGGCGACGAUCAGUAGCUGGUCUGAGAGGAUGAUCAGCCACAUUGGGACUGAGACACGGCCCAAACUCCUACGGGAGGCAGCAGUGGGGAAUCUUGCGCAAGGGGCGAAAGCCUGACGCAGCCAUGCCGCGUGAAUGAUGAAGGUCUUAGGAUUGUAAAAUUCUUUCACCGGAGACGAUAAUGACGGUACCCGGAGAAGAAGCCCCGGCUAACUUCGUG
rnacentral:rRNA from 1 species